rnacentral:rRNA from 1 species
GAUGAACGCUGGCGGCGUGCCUAAUACAUGCAAGUCGAGCGAACAGACGAGGAGCUUGCUCCUCUGACGUUAGCGGCGGACGGGUGAGUAACACGUGGAUAACCUACCUAUAAGACUGGGAUAACUUCGGGAAACCGGAGCUAAUACCGUAUAACAUGUUGAACCGCAUGGUUCAACAGUGAAAGACGGUCUUGCUGUCACUUAUAGAUGGAUCCGCGCCGCAUUAGCUAGUUGGUAAGGUAACGGCUUACCAAGGCAACGAUGCGUAGCCGACCUGAGAGGGUGAUCGGCCACACUGGAACUGAGACACGGUCCAGACUCCUACGAGAGGCAGCAGUAGGGAAUCUUCCGCAAUGGGCGAAAGCCUGACGGAGCAACGCCGCGUGAGUGAAGAAGGUCUUCGGAUCGUAAAACUCUGUUAUUAGGGAAGAACAAAUGUGUAAGUAACUAUGCACGUCUUGACGGUACCUAAUCAGAAAGCCACGGCUAACUACGUG